rnacentral:rRNA from 1 species
UACGUAGGGUGCAAGCGUUGUCCGGAAUUAUUGGGCGUAAAGAGCUCGUAGGCGGUUUGUUGCGUCGGCUGUGAAAUCCCGAGGCUCAACCUCGGGUCUGCAGUCGAUACGAGCAAACUAGAGUGUUGCAGGGGAGACUGGAAUUCCUGGUGUAGCGGUGAAAUGCGCAGAUAUCAGGAGGAACACCGGUGGCGAAGGCGGGUCUCUGGACGAUUCCUGACGCUGAGGCACGAAAGCCAGGGGAGCAAACGGG